rnacentral:rRNA from 1 species
GACGAACCGUGCAAACGUUGUUCGGAAUCACUGGGCUUAAAGGGCGCGUAGGCGGGCAAGCAAGUCCGGGGUGAAAUCUUUCGGCUCAACCGGAAAAGUGCCUUGGAUACUGCUUGUCUGGAGGGAGGUAGGGGCAUCUGGAACGCUGGGUGGAGCGGUGAAAUGCGUUGAUAUCCAGCGGAACUCCGGUGGCGAAGGCGAGGUGCUGGACCCUUUCUGACGCUGAGGCGCGAAAGCCAGGGGAGCAAACGGG